rnacentral:rRNA from 1 species
UACAGAGGUCCCGAGCGUUGUUCGGAUUCAUUGGGCGUAAAGGGUGCGUAGGCGGCGAGGCAAGUCUGAUGUGAAAUCCCGGGGCUCAACCCCGGAACUGCAUUGGAUACUGCCUUGCUUGAGUACUGGAGAGGGAACUGGAAUUUACGGUGUAGCAGUGAAAUGCGUAGAUAUCUGGAGGAACACCGGUGGCGAAGGCGGCAUCCUGGACCAAUAUUGACGCUGAGGAGCGAAAGCCAGGGGAGCAAACGGG